rnacentral:ncRNA from 1 species
UAUAAUACGUUGAGGAUCCCGAGUACAUGGUGACCACCCGAUCAGAGAGGAAUUUCCAGGCUGAAAAAAUUCCCGGACAGGACCAUGGAAGCUAGAUCUGAGUGCGGAUUCAUCUCCGCCGGCCUGCACCGUUACAAGCAACUAAAGGUGAUGGAUCAUUGUGUCCAUAAUCAGGGUGGUACCGCGAACAAAGCUCUCGUCCCUGCU